rnacentral:rRNA from 1 species
UACGUAUUGGGCGAGCGUUGUCCGGAUUCAUUGGGCGUAAAGAGCUCGUAGGCGGUUCGGUAAGUCAGGUGUGAAAUCUCCACGCUCAACGUGGAGGGGCCACCUGAUACUGCCGUGACUCGAGUCCGGUAGGGGAGUAUGGAAUUCCCGGUGUAGCGGUGAAAUGCGCAGAUAUCGGGAGGAACACCAGUGGCGAAGGCGGUACUCUGGGCCGGAACUGACGCUGAGGAGCGAAAGCGUGGGUAGCAAACAGG